rnacentral:lncRNA from 1 species
AGUCCGGCUACUAUACUUUUAUGAGUAUUGGCUCCUUUAUACUCAUAAGUUUUCGGCCGUUAGAUUUAUUCCACUUAUCAUUUCCAUCCGUUAGAUCAUAUUAAUCAACCAACUACCCACUCAACCCUAGGAGACCACUAUCAUUUUAAUUAGUGACCAUCAUUAUCCUAACCACACAUCACAUCAAUCAAUGGUUAAAAAUUUAUGAGUACAAGGGGGCCUAUACUCAUAAGAGUAUAGUAGCCCCAGCCUAUAUAUAUAUAUAUAAAAGCUAAGUUAAUGGUUUGAAGAAUGGAG